AACGUAGGGGUCGAGCGUUAUCCGGAAUUACUGGGCGUAAAGCGCGUGCAGGCGGUUUUGUAAGUCGGACGUGAAAGCUCCUGGCUCAACUAGGAGAGGCCGUUCGAAACUGCGAGACUAGAGAACGGUAGAGGCGAGUGGAAUUCCCGGUGUAGUGGUGAAAUGCGUAGAUAUCGGGAGGAACACCAGAGGCGAAGGCGACUCGCUGGGCCGGUUCUGACGCUCAGACGCGAAAGCGUGGAUAGCAAACAGG
rnacentral:misc_RNA from 1 species